UAACGCGUGAGGAACCUGCCUUUCAGAGGGGGACAACAGUUGGAAACGACUGCUAAUACCGCAUAACACAUAGGUGUCGCAUGGCAUUUAUGUCAAAGAUUUAUCGCUGAAAGAUGGCCUCGCGUCUGAUUAGCUAGUUGGUAGGGUAACGGCCUACCAAGGCGACGAUCAGUAGCCGGACUGAGAGGGUGGCCGGCCACACUGGGACUGAGACACGGCCCAGACUCCUACGGGAGGCAGCAG
rnacentral:rRNA from 1 species